rnacentral:rRNA from 1 species
UACGGAGGGUGCGAGCGUUGUCCGGAAUCACUGGGCGUAAAGGGUGCGUAGGCGGGUCUUUUAAGUCAGGGGUGAAAUCCUGGAGCUCAACUCCAGAACUGCCUUUGAUACUGAGGAUCUUGAGUUCGGGAGAGGUGAGUGGAACUGCGAGUGUAGAGGUGAAAUUCGUAGAUAUUCGCAAGAACACCAGUGGCGAAGGCGGCUGACUGGUCCGGUUCUGACGCUGAGGCGCGAAAGCGUGGGGAGCAAACAGGG